UCCUAAGAGUCAGUGUUAAGCGUGGUGUCCCAAUUAAAUUCUAAGUGAGGCACUCAUAGCCUGCCUAUAAAUUGACCUUACAGCUUCAAAUAGAUACAGCAGUCUUCCUCUUGAGUUGUGUGGAAUGGUGUGCAUAUUAAUCUACUUAUACAAGGGUUUUAAGCACAUGCAACUUUACUCAAGCAAGACAAGCACAUUUUGGCAACUCUAAAAGUUCUUUAGGGAACAAGAACUACAGGGCAGAGACCAAAAGUUGUGUCCUGCAAAAAAGUAUCCGUGUUUAAUUUUGUUUAAAAACUUCAGAUACUACAGAUUUUUCCAGUGAACUGCAGAUAACAUUAUGCUGUAUUCAAGCUAUGUAGGAAGAAAGGUUAAAAAGAGCUAAAACACAGCUUAGAUCUAAGAUACCUCUCAUUCAGAAUUCACUGCUGACUUGGUUGAAGACUGGCACAGUAGCCUGUAGGAACAAGCAGCAGCCCACAGCUCAGAUUUCUAUUUUUGCAUCUAAAGCUACAUCCCUAAAACUACAUUUUUAGUUGUUUCACUUAAACCCUCAGUUAUUGCAAAUAACUUAGUUCUACUCUGGGCACGGCUACACUUGCAGAUGUAGAGCACUUUGAGUUAAACCAGCCUUCGUAGAGCACAGUAGGCAAAGCGCUGCAAUCUGUCCACACUGACAGCUACAAGCGCACUGGCAUGGCCACAUUAGCAGCUCUUGCAACAGCCACAGAGGGCAGAGCAUUGUGGUAGCUAUCCCAGCAUGCAAGUGACUGCAACAUGCUUUUCAAAUGGGGGGGAGGGCUGGUGGAGUGUGACAGGGAGUGUGUUGUGUGUAUGUGGGGGGAGAGAGCAUGUCAGCAUGCUGUCUUGUAAGUUCAGACAGCAGCAGACCUUCCUCCCCACCACCCCUCUCUCUCUCACACACACAGCAUUCCACAGUAAUGGUUGCUGUGUCUCGGAGCAGAUAAUAGAGCUUUCAAAGGGCAUAUCCGCAUACCUGCAGCAAUUCCAAAACUAUGCCAAGAGUGGCCACUUGACUUAAGGGGAUUAUGAAAUGUUUCCGGAGGCUGAUCAGAGCGCAGUAAUGCAACACCUCAUUCACAUUGACGCCCGGGCAUUUCAGCCAAGGCGCAACAAGCGUUAAUCUUGCUGAGGUGGAGUACCACGAGUGCUCUACGUGCCUUGCUAGUGUGGACAGGUAGUGAGCUAGGACGCCUGGGGUUGCUUUAAUGCGCUCUAACUCACAAGUGUAGCCAAGCCCUCUGUCACAUUCCAAAAGGCUGUGGAGAUGUCUCUGCUACUUCUGUUCCCAGCAGUAUACACUGUUAAGUGAUGUCAAAGAUGAUAAAAUGUUUUAUUCAGAGAGCAAGCAUAAGGAAUAACCAUUAGUGUGCUUUACUUUUCUAAACUAGGUACAAACAUUUACUAAUCCAUAACACCACACCGGUAAAGUACUGUAGAUACGUAUUAAUCAUAGUUUUGCAGAUGGGGAAAAGACUUAAAUUACUUAGAUGUAGACACACAGCGAGUCAGCAACAGAGCAAGAUUAGAAUUCCAAAGUGCCUCACUCAGACUCCUCUUCUACAUCCAACGAACUCAACUGUCUCUACUUCGGUUACUGAUACAAACCAUUUACCUCUUCAAAAUACGGUGGAUGGCAAAGGGCCAUGAUAGCAGUUCCACGUAAAGUCAAACAGUGUCCAUUUUAAGGCCAAUUUUGACUCCCUUUAACAACCUAGAAUGUCAUAAAGUGGUUUAUGUAAGUUUUUUUUUUUUUUUAAAGUUUGUGUUUCCUUAGAACAAGGUAUCUGGAUUAUGGGAUUUAAAACCAGUCAUUCUGACUUGCUCAACUCACACAAGGUUUGGGAUAAAGCCUUCAGCAUUUCUGCACAAUCAGUGGGAGCUAGCAUACUGCUUUUUUUGAGGAGCUUUAGGACAAUAAAUUUUUCUGGGGAGCUUUUACAUUCUAUGAGUAAAAUAGCUUGGGGGUCCAUACAUCUUGCAAGCUUAAGUGGCAUGUCCUGCAAGAUCAUUUAAUUUUACAAGCAUGUGCUUGUUUUCCUAUUCCUGAACUUGUGAUGUCCCCAAUCCCAAUAAAUGGAAGGAGAUUAGCCCAUGCAAGAGGGUCUCAAAUUACAGGAGGCACCAAAAGAGCUCUCUCCUAUUUACAGGAGAGAGAGUUUGUUAAAUCAGGGAACUCCAGCAGAUGGCAACAAUAUCUACCCACACAUGAGUACAGCAUUUGCUGCUGUAGGCCAGGCUGUAUACGGAGGUGCAAGUUUUCAGGUAGGUCCCUGGCUUGGGAAUGACCCCCCCAAAAAAUACACACCUCUCUCUCUCUCUAUAUAUAUAUAUAUAUAUAGCCAGAGAGAAAGAUACACACAGAGGAAUUAGGAGAUAAAUUUUAAAAAACAAAUAACUAAGAAGGGAGAUGGGCUAACACAGUUUUGAGCUGCAGUGGUUUCCCAUCAUAGAAUAAAGAGGCGUUAUUUUCCCUGAAUACAACUCCAGUGUAACUGUCUGGAAUACUACUUCUAACUGCAGGGGCCUCAUUACCAAACCAUAUAAACUGCAUGCAGGCAGUUCAUAAGGGAGCAAGAAGUGAUUAAGGGACUGGAGCACUUAUGUGGAGAAAAGACUAGAACAGAAGAGCUCAAUACAUACAGCUUGGCUGAGACAACCAAAAAGGGACUGGAUAACAGCACAAAGGAGGAAGAAGAAAGAUUUGGGCUGGCCAUACUUCCAGCAGAGGAUUGAACAAUGCUCCCUCUUCAAGAAUCGCUUAAAUGCUGCUCCCCAAUUGCCUUGGAAUUUUCAGAAAGAAAUUACAUGGUUCUUCCUCUACCCUGGGAAACAGCAUGCUGCCAUUGCAACUCUUCUAGCCUCAAUGGACACAUCAAUACUAGAAUUUUUUUCCUUCACAUCGGCCACUGUUGAUACUAACGAUUCAACGCUGUCAGCAACAGCAAUGGUGGAUAGGCGCUGCUGGUGUUUUUGCCACCAUAAUAACACAAGUUAGAAUGCCAGCAGCUCCUUGUCUAUGGUACCAUUCCCACUUUGCCAACACUGAUGGAUCUGAAUGGUGGGAAUUUUUAGGGAAAAAAAAAUCCUCAUAUAGACAAAGACAAUAGGUCUGGGAGAGACUUUAAGCACCAAAAAUAGAUUUCUCCCUUCACCACUCUUAGGGGUGGUUCACCACUCUAGUCCAGCGGUUCUCAACUGGGGUCCACAAGCCCUUUCAGCGGAUCCACAGAGCCCCGUGGCUGAAACCCAGAGCCCCGAGCCCCUGCGCUGAAGUGGCACGGGGUUGAAACCAGCACACCCCGAAGCCAGGAGCAGUGCGGGGCUGAAUCCCAUGUCCGUCCGUCCCCCACAAGCUGGGAGCAGUGCGGGGCUGAAUCUGGCACCCCCUUCCCUACCCCUCAAGCUGGGAGUGGCGUAGGGCUGAAUCUGGCACCCCCUACUCCCCCCAAGCUAGGAGCAGCGUGGGGGCUGAAGCCAGGAGCCACACUAGGACUGUCCCUGCCUACCUGUACACAGCCCCUAGCUACCACCUGCCUGCACCCUGAGCUAUCCCACUGCCUGCACACAGCCACUAGCUACCCCCCUUUGCACCCUGAGUCGUUUUCAAACUUUUUGAACUGACUCCCCCCUUUGAGUUAUAUUUUUUGGUUGCAUCCCCCCACAGCCCAGACAGGCUGGGUGGCCUCCUGAGUGAGUCGGGGGUGGAGGUGGCACUCCAUCUCUGGACCCCACUGUGCAGAGCGGUCUCGAACCCUGCCAGCUCUUGCCCACUCCAAAACAGAAGUAAAACUAUGCCUAUGCCCAAGGGUCCCCCCCAAGCUCAGAGCCCCAAGUCCUCCCCCACCGGGCUCUGGCGUUUUUAUAGCAUGUUGAGGGGGGGCUCAGCAAGAAAAAGGUUGAGAACCCCUGUUCUAGUCUUCUCCAAGACUAGAUGUGCUCUUUUAAGGUGAGCUGUAAAUCUAAGAGAUAGUUAUGAAGCAGCCUGAUGCCUACAUUCACAGUUCUCUUUUAGGUCAAGAGCCAGUCUUGUAGAAAAAUAGUAGGGAUAGAGUCCAGUCAGCAUGUGAAACCUGAACUUUCUGCUGUAAUUGUUCACCUGUCUCAGGUCCUGAUUUUUACCCCCCAGAAUGAGAAAGUACUUUAAAUAAAAGCCCUUCUCCCCA